AUGAACGCUGGCGGCGUGCUUAACCCCUGCAAGUCGCGCGAGAAGUUUUGAAAAGAUUCUUCGGAUGAAAUUUAAAAUGGAAAGCGGCGGACGGGUGAGUAACGCGUAGGCAACCUGCCCCAUACAAAGGGAUAGCAUUUGGAAACGAAUAUUAAUACCUUAUGAAACUUAACUAGUGCAUGCUAGGUAGGUCAAAGAUUUAUCGGUAUGGGAUGGGCCUGCGUCUGAUUAGCUAGUUGGUGAGGUAACGGCUCACCAAGGCGACGAUCAGUAGCCGACCUGAGAGGGUGAACGGCCACAUUGGAACUGAGACACGGUCCAAACUCCUACGGGAGGCAGCAGUGGGGAAUAUUGCACAAUGGGGGAAACCCUGAUGCAGCAACGCCGCGUGAACGAUGAAGGCCUUUGGGUCGUAAAGUUCUGUUCUAGGUGAUGAAAACUGACAGUAACCUAGGAGAAAGCCCCGGCUAACUCCGUG
rnacentral:rRNA from 1 species